AACGAACGCUGGCGGCAGGCUUAACACAUGCAAGUCGAACGCUCCGCAAGGAGAGUGGCAGACGGGUGAGUAACGCGUGGGAAUCUACCGUGCCCUACGGAAUAGCUCCGGGAAACUGGAAUUAAUACCGUAUACGCCCUUCGGGGGAAAGAUUUAUCGGGGUAUGAUGAGCCCGCGUUGGAUUAGCUAGUUGGUGGGGUAAAGGCCUACCAAGGCGACGAUCCAUAGCUGGUCUGAGAGGAUGAUCAGCCACAUUGGGACUGAGACACGGCCCAAACUCCUACGGGAGGCAGCAGUGGGGAAUAUUGGACAAUGGGCGCAAGCCUGAUCCAGCCAUGCCGCGUGAGUGAUGAAGGUCUUAGGAUUGUAAAGCUCUUUCACCGAUGAAGAUAAUGACGGUAGUCGGAGAAGAAGCCCCGGCUAACUUCGUGC
rnacentral:rRNA from 1 species